rnacentral:rRNA from 1 species
GAGGAGACACUGACAGCGACCACAAGCAGACGAGGGACGGGGCACAAGGAGCAAUCUGAGGUGGCGACCGGCGCACGGGGUGAGUAACACGUAUGCAACCUACCUGUAAGAGGGGAAUAACCCGUUAGAAAAACGGACUAAUACCGCAUAACACUGUAGAACCGCAUGGUUUGACAGUUAAACAUUUAUGGCUUACAGAUGGGCAUGCGCAUGAUUAGCUAGUUGGUGAGGUAACGGCUCACCAAGGCAACGAUCAUUAGGGGUUCUGAGAGGAAGGUCCCCCACACUGGUACUGAGACACGGACCAGACUCCUACGGGAGGCAGCAGUGAGGAAUAUUGGUCAAUGGGCGAGAGCCUGAACCAGCCAAGUCGCGUGAAGGAUGAAGGUUUUAUGAAUUGUAAACUUCUUUUGCAGGGGAAUAAAGUGUCCGACGUGUCGGAUUUUUGUAUGUACUCUGCGAAUAAGGAUCGGCUAACUCCGUG